UGGCAUAGACACAAACAUAUUUGGUUGUGUCGUGUGUAUUUGCAGCACGUUUCCUAAAUGCUGCACAUUUGUUUUCAAAUGGAUGAACAUGUUUUAUCUAUCUGCUUGUGUUUUGUCUAUAUGCAUGUUUUUUAAGUUGUAGAGCGUUUGUCUUGUCAGGUACCAUAGGCUGGGGUAUUUCUUUGUAAUGAAUUAAUAGUGAACAUGCUCAUUUGAAACUGGAUUCUUUGGCGUGUAUUACAAAAGCGUUAGGAAGGCCAUAUUCUUCUAUUCUAUGGUCAGACUCUGUUAUCUCCAGUAGGGGGCAGUCAUAACCCACAGUGAAACAUAAUCUGAGUGUCAUUGAGAAGAGUAUCUGCCCAAAGCCCAUUAGUCACCCUGUUUUGGGUUUCCAGUCAAAACAACAGAGAAAAUAAUGAGGCAUUUUAUUUUCUAUACAUUUCAUACAGCUACAUUCCGUUAGCUUGAUGCUAACUAUGUCUGAUUAAAGUUUAUUUUCCCCUCCAUUUCAUUCACAGGAAGUUUGAUUGGGCAAACAGUUAGUCACAAGCAACUUGCCAGGGAUUUUGUCCACUGUCUUCACUUACUACUACACAUAUACACGCAUACAAAGAUACAAAUUGUAUACUUUUAUUUCAUGUCCAUAUGUACAAAAUAAACACUGAUGGAUUUGAUUUUACAGACUGAUUUUGAUCCUUUUAAUGGGCAUCGGCUUCUCAAAAAAUGUCAGCCACCAACUAAAUAAUCUUUUCCUGAAUGAAAUGCCAGUACUUGCAACAAAACUAUAACUAGCUUUGAUGGUUUGCACCAUCCCACCAGUGUCUUACUAUGAGCAACCCCAUAAUAAUCUCAGACAAAGAAGGGCUAACCAUUUUGGUGUCAUGGUAACCCCAUAAAAUACGGUUUAGAUUUUUCAAUGGUCAAUGAUUGGAAUAAACACAAACGUCUUGGUAAUAUAUUAAUGUUGAUGGAGUCUAUACAUAAAAUACAGCUAAGAGCCCAUUUUAUACUCAGAGGGAAGAUACUGAAGGGGGUUUUAGUGGACAUUGAGGACCUGAGUUUGUUGCUCAUUUACUUUUUAGCCUGAGCAUGAUCCACAUUCAUCCAGCACUGACAUCAACAUCUUAAGUUUAAUUACUAUAUUAUGUCACAUAAUACCCUCCAUUGAUACAGAUUUCUCACACUGAAAGAUACAAAAACUGAUUUCCCUUCUCAACUGAAAACAAACAAAUAAACCUACAUAAGAGAAGCCCAUUAACAUUAAGAGAAAUUAUAUUAUGUAAAACAAUACAAUCCAUCGAUUUCUCACACUGAAAGAUAUAAAAACUGAUUUCCCUUAUCAACUGAAAACAAACACAUAAAUCUACAUAAGAGAAGCCCAUUAACAUUAAGAGAAAUUAUAUUAUGUAAAGUAAUACAAUCCAUCGAUAUUUUACACUGAAAGAUAUAAAAACUGACAAACACAUAAACCUACAUAAGAACAUCAGACCAACUACAGAGAAAGUUUCUUACAGUAAAAGGAUCCCUGUCCCUCUAAAGUCCCUGCUGGAGUGUGGAGGUAAAUCACCCUGUGCUCCGCCCAAAUGGAUCUGGGUGUAGAGUCAGGGUCUGGCUUCUGUGUCAAUAGUCCCUUUAACUCCAAAGUAGCCGUGUGUAUGUCCUUUUUUUUUAGUUGUGGAGAUCUUUAGAGAUAGAAAUAAUUCCACAGAGCGGUUCAUCUCUUGGUCCGGUGACUUCUUUGCCAGUUAGUAAGGCAUCAUUUUUCCUCAUUGUCGGAGGAGUCUGGUCUUUUUUCGAUGUCCCCUGUUCCGUUACCCACUUUUUCGACGUCUUCUGACUUCUCUGUGGGUUCCCCCACUCAUUUCAGAGAGGCAUUAGGAGAAUACUUCUAGAAGUCUGAGAGGUUUCAAGACAGUACUUUGUUUGCAGUGGGUUGUGAGCUAUAGGGCUCUCCCUCCGAGCAUAUGGGUUUCAGUACAAUGACAUACAAAUAUCAAAAGUCACUCUGUUCCUGUACACUGUUGACUAAAAAUUGUAUCCUUGAAUGUUAAAGUCUAAAGUAAGUCAAGUCUUUUUGGUUGGAGUCCGAGCAGGUAUAGCCUAAGAACUGAACCUAAGAUCUGACACUCAUGCAGCUUUAUGUGUCCUCACAAAGUCAGAUUUGGGCAUUUUCAGAUAUCCAAGCAAAGAACAAAAGACCUCAAAUACAGAUUUGUGUUGUUGUUGCUUGGACAAUUUCCUGUUUCCUUGGAUAGGUUAAGGGCAUCAUGACACUGUCAACAUGAUGGGAUCAUUUUGUGCUUGGUACGGUUGAGGGGGUGUCCACUAGUUGAAUGGUAGUGCCACUCAAGUCUUCACAAAGAUCAGAAUCCCAAACAGUAUGAAAGGAAGGUUCGGCAUGAGAGGUGGAAGAAAAGCAAGGAGAAAACAGAACAGAAGACCAGUUAUUUUCACAUCUACACUGAUACACCAUUUUAAGUCAGCUAAAUGAAAGUAGCCUACUAUGUAAAUGAAGGCACACUGUGAGGUCAGGGGGGUUUAAGUAAAUUUAAGUACGUACAUCAAAUGACUCACCUUUCCUAAAUUCCGUAAGGUUUUGCACCAAAUCAAGGCGCUGCAAAUCUUUCAGCAGUACCUCUGUUUCGAUGAUACACUGGGAUGUACCCCAUACCUGUAUCAUUUUAUCAGCAAGAUCAUCUCUGUCAAGUGAUUUGGGUAUUCUUUUUUUUUGGUGUAGAAAAAACUUCAGUCUCUUGAAUUCUUUUUCAUCUAGGUUAUCCAAAAUCUCCAUUAAUUUGCUGGGCCAUGUGAUUUCCAGACCGGACGCUAAAAUAUUAAAGCACAUAUCAGAGGCAAAUACAUUUUGCAUACACAGAAAUAUAGCACUUCACACAAAGCUAAGCAGCCCUUCCUUACAUAUUGUAAUGUGAUUGAGUAAAAUAUUUACCACAACCCAAUAAACUGAAAGUGUUAUUGUCCCUCCCAACAUCACCUUAUUGACCUCUUUCUGGUUGUGUGUUUUAUACACACUUUAAAUGCACUCACCCAAGUACCAAUUAUACCUAAAGGCACUCAGCUAAAUCUGAAAUUCUAAAUAGUCUGCAGUGUAGAUGUUUACAGUGUAAAUAGUUUCAGACAUUUCUCACUUUUUACCGCCGCUCCUUUUGACGGAGCAUCUG
ensembl:lncRNA